rnacentral:rRNA from 1 species
CAGGCCUAACCAUGCAAGUCGUACGAGAACGCUUCAGCUUGCUGAAGCUAGUAAAGUGGGUACGGGUGAGUAACGCGUGGGUAAUCUACCUUCGAGUCGGGGAUAACACGCGAAAGCGGUGCUAAUACCGGAUAACAUCCUUUAGGUUCCGGCCUUUGGAUCAAAGGUGGCCUCUACAUGUAAGCUACCAUUUGAAGAUGAGGCCGGUACCAUUAGCUUGUUGGUAGGGUAAUGGCCUACCAAGGCUACGAUGGUAGCUGGUCUGAGAGGAUGAUCAGCCACACUGGAACUGACACACGGUCCAACUCCUACGGGAGGCAGCAGUGAGGAAUUUUGCGCAAUGGGGGAAACCCGACGCAGCAACGCCGCGUGAGUGAUGAAGGCCUUCGGGUCGUANAGCUCGGUCAGUGGGAAGAACCUGAUCCAUACUAAUAUCGUGGGUCACGGACGGACCACUGAAGGAAGCACGACUAACUCCGUGCCAGCAGCCG